rnacentral:rRNA from 1 species
UACGGAGGGUGCGAGCGUUGUCCGGAAUUAUUGGGCGUAAAGAGCUCGUAGGCGGUUCGUCGCGUCGGCUGUGAAAACCCGGAGCUCAACUCCGGGCCUGCAGUCGAUACGGGCGGACUUGAGUGUUGCAGGGGAGACUGGAAUUCCUGGUGUAGCGGUGAAAUGCGCAGAUAUCAGGAGGAACACCGGUGGCGAAGGCGGGUCUCUGGGCCGAUACUGACGCUGGGGAGCGAAAGCGUGGGGAGCGAACAGG